rnacentral:rRNA from 1 species
AUUGAACGCUAGCGGCAGGCCUAACACAUGCAAGUCGAGGGGUAGCAGGAUUAAGCUUGCUUAAUUGCUGACGACCGGCGCACGGGUGCGUAACGCGUAUGCAACCUACCUUAUACUGGGGUAUAGCCCGGAGAAAUUCGGAUUAAUCCCCCAUAGUACUAAUGAAUCGCAUGGUUUAUUAGUUAAAGCAUUGCGGUAUAAGAUGGGCAUGCGUCCUCUUAGCUAGAUGGUGAGGUAACGGCUCACCAUGGCUACGAUAGGUAGGGGGCCUGAGAGGGAGGUCCCCCACACUGGUACGGAGACACGGACCAGACUCCUACGGGAGGCAGCAGUGAGGAAUAUUGGUCAAUGGGCGCGAGCCUGAACCAGCCAUGCCGCGUGCAGGAAGAAUGCCCUAUGGGUUGUAAACUGCUUUUAUUUGGGAAUAAACCUCUUUACGUGUAGAGAGCUGAAGGUACCAAAUGAAUAAGCACCGGCUAACUCCGUGCCAGCCGCCGCCGUAA